CUCCAGGUUUCAAAUGGGUCCUUGACUCAGUUUUGUGGCUGUGGGAGCAGUCAUGACGUCAGACCUGGGAACUGUGAUGUCACUGAGGAAUAAUCACACAUAAUUGGAGAAGACAGCAGGAAAAAGGAAGUAAACAAAUGUGUUUAUCCACAAACCCUCCUACCACGAGGAACUGGAAUCUCCAAUGGUAAUUUACCACACGUUGCUAAUGUGUUUGUUAUAAUGAACUUCUUAAUUCUUUUUUCCUUUGAUUCUGGCUGCACAGGAAGGUUCAUCAGGGCUGGAACAAGCAGGGGAAGCAGAUUGGGAUGAGCAUUACGGAUCUGCCGUGCUCUGGUUUAUGGUUUGUUCCCAGCAAUACACACUUGCUGCAGCCAGUGCUGUGUCCCAGACCUGAUGUACCUGGAAAAGGGUUUAGCUCAGCUGAUGAAGAAAUCCCAGCCUUUUAGCAGGAAUGUCACCAGCAGCAGCUGACAGUGUGUUUUGUUUUUAUCAUACCUGCACAUUCUACAGCCUCAAAGAACACAAAGCCCCAUCAUUUAUGCCAACCUGGAUGGCUUAACUCCCACAAUAAACUUCAAGAAACAGCUCCUACCUUGCCA
rnacentral:lncRNA from 1 species